AAACAGAGAAGGGAGAAAUGAAGAAAAGAAAAAAGGGAAAAAUAAAGUUUUAAAGGUUUCAAGUUAAUUUGGUAAGUCAAUUUAACCCCUUUUUCUUAUGAUUUUUGAGUUUUUGAAAUCUUAGAGAUAAAUAUUACUUGUUUUAAGUGGAAAUUUUGAAAGUUAUUAGAUUUCUAAGUAUGGUUCAUGUUGAAUAAAAUGAUGGAAUUGGGGGUUUAUUUGAUAGAAAUUUUGAUUGGAAUUGAAUAAAGGAUUGAUUUGUAAACUAAGCUAUAAGUUUUGAGUUUUAGGGAUUAAAUGGAAAUAAAUUCGAAAUUAUGAAAAUAUGCUGGAAAUUUAAUAGUUAAAUUUGAGUUUGGAUAAAAUUUGAAUGGAAAUAAAGAGUGAAUUUAAUUAGGAAAGUGAGUAAACUUAGUAAGGAUUAAAUUGGGAAUAAGGUGAGAAUUGAUUAGAAAUUUAAUUAUUUAUUAUAAUUAAUACUGUAAUUAAUAGUAUAAUUAUUUUAAUUACCGUAGCUAACAUUGUGCCGGAAGCCUCGGCUAAGCAAGGAAAAAGGCAAAGACAACAGGAGUUAGCUUAGAAAUUAUGGUUUGUAUUUCUAUAAUCCGAACUUAGUUUUUAAUUGUUGUAUUUUUAUUUAAUGCAUAUAGAAAUUGUUAGUGUUAGAAUUAUUAUGUUUUAUAAUUGAAAUAGAUUGAUUUGAUAUAUAAUGAAUUUAUUGAAUUUAUAUUGAUUGAAUUGAAUUGAAUUUAUAUGAUAUAUGUGAGUGAGGUAAAAAUUUAAUAUUGAAUGUAUGUUAUAUUGAAAAAUUGAAUGAUUGAGAAUAUGAUGAAAUUGAUAUGAUUAUUGUCAAAAAUGUGUAAAUAAAUGGAUUGAAUAUUGAUUGAAUGGUGGAAAAAUGAUUGAAUUGAAAAUGUGAGAAAUUGUGAUUGAAAUAAGAUUAAAUGUGAUUUAGAUACCCUAUUAACAGUAUCGGGCUAAGUCGAAUAUAGUUGGUAUGCCAUAGGAUUGGAAGUGUUCAGGGAUACUUCGACCUUGAGUCGAUGAGACACUGGGUGUCACUAUAUUUCUUCGGAUAGAUUUGAUGAGGUACCAGGUACCAACUUUACUUCGGCUAGGCCGAUGAGACACUGGGUGUCAACUAUUGCUUCGAACUAUCCGAUGAGGCACUGGGUGCCAAUCUGGUGUGUUUGGUUGGAUCCAUGUAUCCGCCAAGGUCCGAGUCUUAUUAAUAGGGGUAAAUAAAUGAAGAGAUAAAUGAAAUAAAUUUGAUUGAUUGAGCUAUUGAAAUGAUAUGAGAAAUUGAAUUGAAAAUUGAAAUUAACAUAUGAGAUUGAAACAUAAACCAAAGAUUCAUGAAAUGAUUGAAGUUCGAAUUGAUGAUAUUUGAUGCCACUUGAUGAAUUGAAAUGUGAAUUGAGAUAUAUUAAUCGAAUGUAUAUAGUGGAAGUUAUCUGGAAUAGCAAGAUAAUGAUAUGAUAUGAAUAAUAAUAACUGUUAUGAAAUGAAUAAGUAUAGAACGGUGGUUGAGAAGUGAAUACUAUUAUUGUUUUAAAAUGACGUGUGAACGGAUUACGGAAAACUAUAUAGGUUAGUAAGUAAAAAGAAUAAAAUAAGUUAUAAAGAAUUUAUCUACGAAUUAAAUAAUUGAAUAAUUCUAAUUGUUAUAUGAUUUUUAAGUCUUUGUUAUAUUUUCAUUUUAUUUGGUGUUCGGAUUAUAGAAAUUCUACUGAGUAUAUCCAUACUCAGCGUACGGUUUGUUUCUGUACGCAGGAUAAGUUAAAGCUAGAACGUUGAAUCAGCAUCCUAGGCCGAUCCCGGAUUCAAUAAGGUAAAGUGUGUUAAUUAUUGGUAAUGGCAUGUACUUAGGGUGUCUUAUGUGUAUGUCAUUUUGAAUUGAGAAUGUAAGGAUGAAAUAAGUAGAUUUAGAUUUUG
rnacentral:lncRNA from 1 species